UAUCUCUGCCAUGUCCGCAUCAAUGCGUCGUUGCGCUUUCUCCACUCUCAGGAGUCAGGGCCCGUCGAUUGGGAGUCUCUGUUGCUGUUAAUAGCCCUAAGUCACCUUGCUCUCGUUGCUAGCCCUUUUUCUUUCUCAAGAAAAUUCAAUUCUUGGUUUUCUCGAGAAAGUUAGGGUCAUAACAAUCAUAUAAUGAGCUUUCAGGAUAUCGAAGCUGGCCGGCCAUUCGCUCCCCGGCGAAACCUCGGCAAUCCCAGCCAAGAUCCUACACAGGCCGUGGCUUCCGGUAUCUUUCAGAUCAACACCGCUGUGUCCACGUUUCAGAGGCUCGUCAAUACCCUUGGAACCCCGAAAGACACGCUAGAGCUACGCGAUAAAUUGCACAAGACAAGACUACAUAUUGGGCAAUUGGUGAAGGGUACAUCUGCCAAACUCAAGCAGGCUAGUGAAAUAGAUCACCAUGUCGAAGUCACUCCAAGUAAGAAGAUAGCAGACGCUAAACUUGCAAAAGAUUUUCAGGCAGUUUUAAAAGAAUUUCAGAAGGCGCAGCAACUUGCGGCCUCAAGGGAAACAGCCUACACUCCUUUUGUUUCACAAGCAAGUCUUCCUUCCAGUUAUGCAGCCAGUGAGGCGGAUGUUAGUACUGAUAAGACUUCAGAACAGCGUGCUCUCCUUGUGGAAUCCAGAAGGCAAGAGUUGUUAUUAUUGGAUAAUGAGAUUGGCUUCAACGAAGCUAUAAUUGAGGAACGUGACCAUGGCAUUCAAGAAAUCCAACAGCAAAUUGGUGAAGUAAAUGAGAUUUUCAAAGAUCUUGCUGUGCUUGUUCAUGAGCAAGGAGGCAUGAUUGAUGACAUUGGAUCCAAUAUUGAAGCCUCCCAUGCAGCAACUUCAGAAGCAAAGUCUCAACUUGUGAAAGCUGCAAAAACCCAAAGAUCAAAUUCGUCUCUGACUUGCUUGCUUUUGGUGAUAUUCGGGGUCGUGCUUCUCAUUGUGAUCAUAGUUCUUGCUGCCUAGUCAAAGAAUGUCGCAAUUCAAAUUAUGAAGCAGACCCGUGUCUUCUGAAAAUCAGAUGGCCUUCACUGAUUUCGCAGAGUCUCUUGGCGAUACGUUACCCCAACACGCGCACGCGCGCACGCACGCACUCACUUUCUUUAAAUGACGUCCGCCUCCUGAAAGCUUCACGUUUGCUUGGGGCUGGUCUAACUUGGUACUUGGAGACGAUGAAAAUGUGUAAUUAACCAUUUUUUUGUGAUAAAAAUAUCACAGAAAACUUUUCAUAAUGGUCAGGACUGGAACUGAGAACUUAUGAUCUAUAAACAGCUCAAUGUAUCAGCGAGGCUCCUACUUCUUGACUAAACUUUUUAUUAGUCCGUCUCA